rnacentral:lncRNA from 1 species
AGACCCAGGUUUGUUUCGUUUAAAGGAGGAUGCAAUUCUGUCCGUGAAUGCAUUUUCUCUAAAUGUUGGCUUCAUCCCUCCUUUGGUAGAGCAUGUCAACGGAUUUGCUAAUGGCAAAGAAGGGAAAACAGAAGCAAAGAAAACUGUUUCAAAAGUCUUGGAAUUGCUACUGUUAAAAGGCUGCGGUUCAUUUCUGAUUUCCUCAUCUUUUGCUACAAAGGAAAAAGAAAUCCAAUGAUGUGUCUACCUUUGGUGAGAAGAAAACACGAGCAACAGCAGUGUAGGUGUGUUUGUUUGUUUUUCUUUUUUCCUGGAAAAAUAUUUUUAAUAUUCACCAAUUAGCGAGUUGAAAGCUGUGGAGAUGUAAAAGAUGUUCUCUUGUCCACAUCUAUUUGUUGAGUUUCGUCAAUGGAGUUUUGUAGGCAUUUGUACCAGAUAGAAAUGGAGAGAAAGAGAAUUAAACACUUGCCAAGGAACAAUAUAUACACUUUCAGGUAACUCCACCUAAUCCUGUAUUUGAGUGCUGAUAGGGAGGAGGAGGGGGUGCUAUUUUCCCCUCACAAACCCCCCAAAGCCGUAUUAGACAGAAAGAGGGGGUGAGAACUCUAUGACUGAGCAUUCUGACAAAAAUGGAAGCAGCACCUCUCUGCUCCUAGACCCCUAAGGAAAGACGCCCCCAAAAUGUGCAAAAGCCGUUAUGUUUCCUUUAGAGUCCUGAGUUGGGUGGACCUUUCAGAGACAUACACAGUCAUUAAUAUUUUAA